UACGAAGGUCUCAAGCGUUGUUCGGAAUCACUGGGCGUAAAGGGAGCGUAGGCGGCGUGGUAAGUCAGAUGUGAAAUCCCGGGGCUCAACCCCGGAACUGCAUCCGAUACUGCCAUGCUAGAGGAUUGGAGAGGUAGCUGGAAUUCUUGGUGUAGCAGUGAAAUGCGUAGAGAUCAAGAGGAACACUCGUGGCGAAAGCGAGCUACUGGACAAUUCCUGACGCUGAGGCUCGAAGGCUAGGGUAGCGAAAGGG
rnacentral:rRNA from 1 species